rnacentral:rRNA from 1 species
ACGUGCCGGUGACAAACCGGAGGAAGGUGGGGAUGACGUCAAGUCAUCAUGGCCCUUACGGCCUGGGCUACACACGUGCUACAAUGGUCGGUACAAAGGGUUGCCAAGCCGCGAGGUGGAGCUAAUCCCAUAAAACCGAUCGUAGUCCAGAUCGCAGUCUGCAACUCGACUGCGUGAAGUCGGAAUCGCUAGUAAUCGUGAAUCAGAAUGUCACGGUGAAUACGUUCCCGGGCCUU